CUCCCCACGGAGAAUGACCUCACACUGCCACUUCGCCCUCUGCAGGACAAAACCAGUGUCAGGUCCCAACCGAGGUCAUCCCUCUACCCCACACCCAAGGCCCCACUCAGCCCAGACUCAUCAGACACUCACCCCCUGGGGCAAGGGGCACACAGACACCUGGCCCCCCUGGGUCGGCUUGUAGUAAUGGGGAGCCCCGAUGAGGACGAGGUCAGUGUUGCCAUCUCUAUCCACAUCCACUGUGCAGAGGGAGGCCCCAAAGUAAGAGCCAAUCUGCAGGGCAGAGCCUGAAGUCACCUUGCCUGUUCCUGCCACAGGUACACCCUCUGGGACAGGUCCCACUUCCCCCCAGCCACCAGGGCCUUCCUCGUUGGGCCCCCAAGGCCCUUCAUCUCCUUCCUCUGGGCCCUUAGAGAUGCUGCCACCCUCAUGUUCUGCUCUGGCUUCCUCGACACCCAACCUGGGUCCCUGAGACUUCAGCCUUCGGCCUCCAUUGCUCGGAUGCCUGAGUGAAGAUGACAACCUUCCCGGUGUGCUGAUGGCGGGGGGCCCCCAGGAUCAGGCUCUGUACUCCCUUCCAAAAGGCCAGCUCUGUGGAGUAACCUGAGGAGGGCAGGCCUCAGCACAAAGGCUUCCUGCCCACCCCCUGAGCUCCUGCCCCACAGGCAGCCCAUCUCCCACCUGUGCCCCCAACCAUGGCCUGUUCUCACCCAGUUGUCACUCCUCAGGUCUCCUCUGAUCACCUCUCCUGACACCUAGCAACAUCUGAAGAUUUUUGUUGUCUCCUCCCACUGGAUAUGUGCCUAUGAGAACAAGAACCUUGACUAUCCGUUCUCUGCUGUGCUCCUAGUACCUCCAUUCACUGCCUAUAUGUGUCUCUCCAAACAGACAGUGACCUUGAAGACAGAAUCCGUUAUCUUCUUUACUUUUGGUUCCCAGCUCCCAGCACAGGGCUGGCUCAGGAUUGGUGCCCGGUGUCAGGUAUGUGCUCCACCUACCAUUGUGAGUACUGAACUGAAGCCUUCUUGUGACAUCUCAUGUUGGAAAGAGCUACUUGUCGUCGACUGGGUUCCUGUAGGGAAACAGGUCACUCAGGCAGUGGGGGCCAGGAGACCACAAGGACUCAGAGCAGGAGAAGAAUGAAUCUGAAGCUCAGGUCUGGGGCACAAUUUUGGGUGAGCUGUGACUAGGGAUGGACCCACGGAAUUGCGAGGACAACGGGGUCUGGAACCUUUCAAUUCCAAGACCCAAGCGCACCCUGCCUUUACCUUCGAGUGCAAAGAUCUUCUCCUGCAGCUGCUCCUGGAUGCUGCUGAGUGCUGCAAAGUUGUCCACCCUGAACACAUGGUCCUGAGCCGGCUCUGAGCCAAUGUUGUCCAGCUCCUGCUUGGCACUGGGUUUCCAGAAAGCAUCUCCCACCUGUGGCAGAGAGGCCACUGAGGAGGAGCCCGCCAGCCUUUCUUCCCUGGUGAGGUGCAGCCUGAGUCCGAGGGAGACAUGAGGAAGAGGACAUACCCCAAUGGCAUAGCGGAUGAUGCCAGCUCUCUCUGCCUGGGGGAUGACGUCGCUGUACUCCAGGGGGUCUUUGUAUUUCUGCCCAUCUGUGAUGACAAUGAGGAUCUUCUUGGCACUUUUACGGGCCCCAUUCUUACUAUGAAACAGUUCCUCCCUGUAAGGGAUGAAAAGGAGAUGAUUCUCUGGAGAUGAAAUUGUUUCUGGAAAGGAAUAAAUAGCUCUAGAAACUCAUCUGGAGACACUGGGGAGCUCUGGUACUUUCAGACUCUGUAAGCCAUGUUAGGAAAUUGCCUCAACCCUUCUAUUAUAUUCACAAUUUUGGGUGAGGUGUGAAUAGGGAUCUCAAGCAGUCUCCACACUCAGCGCAGAGCCACACACAUGGCUCAAUGUCAGGACCUUAAGAUCAUGACCUGAGUAGAAAUAAGAGUUGAACACUUAAUGGACUGACCUGCCCAGGCACCCCAAAGUAAAGCUUUUUUAAAACAGUGAAUGGCCUACCGGUAAGCAUUAAUUCUAUGUUAGGUAGCUGUUACAAUGAUUAAACAACCUAAACAUCCAACAUCAGGAAAGGUUUAGCAAAUUAGUUGCUUAGUGAGAAAGUACACAGCCAUGUCAAAGGGAAACAAUAGAGCAACAUGGCAUAGGUUUAUAUAACACAUGAAAAAAAAAAAAAGAAAGGCAGGAUGAAACUAGUUUCUGCCAACAAUGUGACUAUAU